rnacentral:lncRNA from 1 species
UUCAAAGGGGAGGGGAAGUCAGAAAUUGCAGCUUUGGCUUUUUUGUCGAAGCAACAUGGAUCUAUGAUGUUCCUUUCUUCUUCCAGAGAUUGCUCUUUCUUGUCCCUAUGAUGCAGUAAUCAGGAACAGAGAAAGCGACCCUGAAGAAACAGAGAGAGGGAGAGGAGUAAUAAGUCAGAUUUAUAUGAAACUUGAAAUCAAUACCAACUUAGAGAAAGCAACGAAAUUGGUGAGGAGAAAAGUUAAAGUUGGAAAGAAACAAAAAAAGAGUGGCUGG